GAUUGUUGAUUUUGUACAAUCGAUUGUUCAUAUUGAAAUCUGAAAAAGAUUUUUUGAACGUUGCUGAAUAAUUGAUUAUUGAUUUGAUAUAAUCGAUUGUUUUACAAAAAAUCUGGAAAUGAUUUUUUGAACGUUGCCAAUAAUCGAUUGUUGAUCUUGGACAAUCGAUUGUUAAGCGUAAAAUCUGGGAUUGAUUUUUGGAA
rnacentral:lncRNA from 1 species